CAUACGCAUGGUGGCCCAGCACCGUCCAGUAGCGAGAUGCUACUGGCAGUGUCAGUAGCGAACCCCCGUUCGAGAAAGAGAGGGGAGAAAGAGGGGGAGCGGAUUAGCCAGUUACCCGGGUAACCCCUUAGUGGGUGUUAACAUUACCAUGGGGCCCACCCUUAUAUAUCAACGCCGUCAGUCCGUUUUUCCAGCCCAUUAUAGAUCAUGGUCCCAAAAUUUAAGUAGAUACAAAUCUCAGGUGGACCACACCACAGGAAACAGUGGCGAUUGAACUCUCGCCAUUAAAAAAAAUAUUUACAGGUUAUUAUCCAAACAGGCCGGGAAAGAGAGAGCGCGCGCGGUGGAAGCCCAAUGCAUUCGUCUCCAAUCCGCGUUCCUUAUCUUUACUUGCUGUCAUCGAAACCCGAAUCCAAAAACAUAGAUUUCCAUGGCGUUGGUGAGAUUCCAGAGCUCUGCCAGAUCGGAAUUCCCCAGAAAUCGCAGCAGCAGCGAUUCAAGAGGGGAAUUCUCACCAUGAGAGACAGGAGCAAGAACCGAAAACCCUUGCAGAGGGGGAGAAUCAGCAUCGAGGCGAUCCAAACCGUCCAGGCUCUGAAGCGAGCCAAGGAAAACCAUCAGUCGUUGAAUCAGGUGUUCGAAUUGAAGGUCAGGCGCUUGAUAAAGCCGGAUAUCGUUGCCGUUCUACGAGAACUUCAGAGGCAGAAGGAAGGGCAUUUGGCCCUACAGGUCUUUGAAGGCAUCAGAAAGGAAUACUGGUAUAAGCCUCAGGCAUCUGUCUAUGCAGAUAUGAUCGCAGUGCUGGCAAGCAAUGGGCUAUUUGAAAAGGUUGAACUGCUUCUUUCGUAUAUGAAGAUGGAGAUUGUGGAUGCUGAUAUUGAAGGAUUUAACGCUGUUUUGAGAACUUUGAUGGAGUUCGGCAUUUCCCAAACUGCAAUGGAGUGUUUUCUGUUAAUGAAAGAGGUCAAUUGUGAACCAGAUGAGAUAACCUUUAGAAUCUUGAUAAAUGGCUUUGAAUCAAUGGGGGAAGUGGGCCUAUCGGCUAUUGUCAGGCAAGAAGCUGGGAAAUAUUUCGGUGGUUCUAUGGAGUUUCUAGAGGAGAAGGAAGAGACAACAUCAACUCAUUGACUCACUGACAGUACAAAAAAGUAAUACUUGACCAUUUCACGGUGAUGGUUCUCAUGGUCUGUUCAAUGAUCAGUCUAGAGGUGUUGGUAGCAAUGAUCAGCAGACUCCACUCCAUCUGAUUGCUGUGGAGCCCAUUGUAUCAAAACUGAACUGCCGAGGAUUGCAUCUUAUGUUGCAGGUGGUUUAAAAAGGGCUUGGCUUGGUUCUAAAAAGAGAUAUGUGGGGCACUUUUAGACUCAUGGAUGGUCAAUCAUCUACUUGGAUUGGUCAUUGGAUUCAUUCUACUUUUCAUUGGCCACCAUGAAAAAUUCACACUUGUCGGACCAUCUAAUCAAUGGCA